rnacentral:piRNA from 1 species
UUAAAUCUUCGUUUAUAACAU